GAUGAACGCUAGCGGGAGGCCUAACACAUGCAAGCCGAGCGGUAGAGUUUCUUCGGAAACUUGAGAGCGGCGCACGGGUGCGUAACACGUGUGCAACCUACCUUUAUCUGGGGGAUAGCCUUUCGAAAGGAAGAUUAAUACCCCAUAAUAUAAUGAUUGGCAUCAAUUAUUAUUGAAAACUCCGGUGGAUAGAGAUGGGCACGCGCAAGAUUAGAUAGUUGGUGAGGUAACGGCUCACCAAGUCAAUGAUCUUUAGGGGUCCUGAGAGGGAGAUCCCCCACACUGGUACUGAGACACGGACCAGACUCCUACGGGAGGCAGCAGUGAGGAAUAUUGGACAAUGGGUGAGAGCCUGAUCCAGCCAUCCCGCGUGAAGGAUGACGGUCCUAUGGAUUGUAAACUUCUUUUGUACAGGGAUAAACCUACCCUCGUGAGGGUAGCUGAAGGUACUAUACGAAUAAGCACCGGCUAACUCCGUG
rnacentral:rRNA from 1 species